rnacentral:rRNA from 1 species
GCGGUGCAACUCUUGUUUUCGACACGGAGCUCAUCGCCGUGAAUGGGAAGACGUCUGCUGGCGCCGCCGCGGAGAGCGACGACAGCGAGCUUUGAUGCAUGUUUGACUUGCGUUUCUGCGAGUUCGCCGCCUGAAAGGGCCGCCGUUUUUGAACGAUUUUCCAUCAUGUUUAAAGUGUUACAGAGACCGGUUAGAUUGCUGUACCAAAGGAUCGUUAUGACCAACAGCUGAUCUAUAUGACGCGAAACAUCUUUUCACUCCUGAUGGGUGUGAGGCUGUUAGUAGUGACAACACAAGCAUCUUCUGUUUGUUGGACUGUGCGGCUGUUAAUGAUGAAUGAGCACCAGCA